GACAGAGGGUGCAAACGUUGUUCGGAAUUACUGGGCGUAAAGCGCGUGUAGGCGGCAGCGCAAGUCGGAUGUGAAAUCCCAUGGCUCAACCACGGAAGUGCACCCGAAACUGCGUCGCUAGAGUCCUGGAGAGGAAGGUGGAAUGCUUGGUGUAGAGGUGAAAUUCGUAGAUAUCAAGCGGAACACCGGUGGCGAAGGCGGCCUUCUGGACAGUGACUGACGCUGAGACGCGAAAGCGUGGGGAGCAAACAGG
rnacentral:rRNA from 1 species